rnacentral:lncRNA from 1 species
UCUGAGCGAGGGGCCGUGUCUCUUCAUUUUGCGCUGGGCUUCGCAGGUCUCUGGUUUUUGCAAUGCUGGAGUGACGCCUCUGGCUCAUAUAUCUGCCUGCCCCCACCCCCCAGCCCAAUCUUUGCAAAGGGAAUUGGGCAGUGGGCACAUGGAGGUGGGGCUCUCUCUCGUGUUCAUCCUGCGAGACUCAGGAGCCCCUCUCUUCCAUUUUGCCCUAAAUCCCAGCCUCUUACAAUCAUUUCUUGGUGUAUCACGGGCGCAUCCUCCUGGAAGACCCCGUCGGGCUUCUGCUUCUCCAGGAUCAGCCAUUUAACAGCCCCGCAGAGGACUUGGGAGUCGAUGGCGAUGAGGUUGACAGCCAGAGAGAAGACCUUGACCACGUAAUGCACAGCGAUGACCGUGGGCGUCAUGCCGA